UACGUAGGGCGCAAGCGUUGUCCGGAUUCAUUGGGCGUAAAGAGCGUGUAGGCGGCCAGGUAGGUCGGUUGUGAAAACUGGAGGCUCAACCUUCAGAGGUCGACCGAAACCAUCCGGCUAGAGUCCGGGAGAGGAGAGUGGAAUUCCUGGUGUAGCGGUGAAAUGCGCAGAUAUCAGGAAGAACACCCGUGGCGAAAGCGGCUCUCUGGAACGGUACUGACGCUGAGACGCGAAAGCGUGGGGAGCGAACAGG
rnacentral:rRNA from 1 species